GGUUGUGGCUCAGUGGUAGAGCGCUUGCUUAGCAGCAUGAGGCACUGGGUUCUAUCUCCCGCACCA
rnacentral:tRNA from 1 species